ACUGCAGAUAUAGUGGAAAGGAGCCCAGUACAAACAUGGUUAUCCUGGAUAUCAAAAUGCUCUCUGGAUAUGUCCCAGACCCAGAGUCUUUGAACAUGCUCAAAGGUGCCAAGCUGGUGGAUCGUGUUGAACAAAGGAGGAUCGUGUUCUGGUGUACAUACGGGAGUUACCGAAGGACAUAGUCAUCAACCACAGCCUAACGCUCAUACAGGACUACCAAGUACAGAACCUGAAGCCAGCCGUGGUCAAGCUCUACGACUACUACCAGCCAAGUGACCAGUCUGAUACAGAAUACACCCUAUACCCUUGGGUGGCAGCUUGAAGAGCGUGUGGUCAGUCCUCGAGUCGUCCAGAAGAUACAUAUUAUGUACUUAACACCAUGUCUGUUUGUCUUCUCUUGUUAGUAUUCUGCCACAACCAGUUACAACUGUAACUACAGUGUCUGAAGUGAAAUACAUGCAUAAUAGACAAUUAAAUAAUGUCAUAUUAAUGUCCCGUUUGAAA